UGAAGAAGAAGAUUACUUAUCCCCGUAAAGUGCGACCAGAAAGCUACUGUCAGUCACAUUAUUCAAAUGCUCGACUCGUUCAACGCUUCCCACUCUCCAAUGGCCGAAAACGCAGUCUCAUCCAACUUCCCGUAUUCCGUCAACGUUAACGGCGAUUUCCCCAAUGAUUGUUUACCGCCGGAUCCGCUGUUACAGUCCGGCACCUACAUCCACGCCGAUUCAAACGCAACCGUUGAGACCACACCGGAGAGGAGCCUACUAGAUGAACCGCACGUGUCCGAUCCAAUGCCGGCGGCGCCGGCGAUGGAAAGUACGGCGGAGAUUCAAACGGUGUCGCCCGAGCUGGUAACGCCUAAGCGGCGGCAGAAUAAAUCGGUGGAGGUCACGUCGGAGAGGCCGAGCUGGUUGCCUGAGAAUUGGAAGAUUGAAAUGAGAGUUCGGACCUCUGGCGCUACGGCUGGAUCUACUGAUAGAUACUUUUUUGAACCAGUGUCGGGGCGUAAAUUCCGGUCAAAAGUUGAGGUGCUUUAUUUCCUGGAAACAGGUGGCAAGCGCAAGAAGGGAAACACUGGCAAUGAAGCUACACCAUCUGAAACCUCUAAGAGCCAAAAACAGAAGAAGGGUGGCUCAAAAACACAGAAAAUUACCUCUUUUUACUUCGAUUCUGGGAAUCCACCACAUAGUGUAUGCUGGGUUCAGACGGAUGGUUUUGCAGAUACCUGGGCACCUUCUUGUAACGGUGGCAUGAUUCCUGAACGCAGAAGACAAGAAUGGGAUGCUGUCUUCUCAAGUGUAUCCCAGCUACGGCGAAGAAAUGUGUAAAUUUUUUGUUAGGGAUAUAGGAGGCUCUAACUUGCACUAACCAGUUCACACGCUUUCUCCAUAUGUCUAUCGUGUGUCAAAUCUCAUCUGAAUUGGCCUUACUUCUUGGGUUUUAGUGCAGAGACUGCAUAGUUCAUACCUUUUUGUUUGCCAAAGGAGUAGGCAAAAGUUGCUCACCUAAAUUAUGUUCAAGAUGUAGUAUGGUUUUCGGUUUUGUCCAACGGAUGAAGAGCUGAUAUCGUAUUACCUGAAGAAGAAACUUGAAGGGUCUGAUAAAUGUGUUGAAGUU